rnacentral:rRNA from 1 species
CAGUAGCCACGGUAAUACGUAGGUGGCAAGCGUUGUCCGGAAUUAUUGGGCGUAAAGGGCUCGCAGGCGGUUUCUUAAGUCUGAUGUGAAAGCCCCCGGCUCAACCGGGUAGGGUCAUUGGAAACUGGGAAACUUGAGUGCAGAAGAGGAGAGUGGAAUUCCACGUGUAGCGGUGAAAUGCGUAGAGAUGUGGAGGAACACCAGUGGCGAAGGCGACUCUCUGGUCUGUAACUGACGCUGAGGAGCGAAAGCGCGUGGAGCGAACAGGAUUAGAUACCCCAGUAGUCCCUGUCUCUUAUAC